AGUGAACGCUGGCGGUAGGCCUAACACAUGCAAGUCGAACGGCAGCACAGGAGAGCUUGCUCUCUGGGUGGCGAGUGGCGGACGGGUGAGGAAUACAUCGGAAUCUACUUUUUCGUGAGGGAUAACGUAGGGAAACUUACGCUAAUACCGCAUUCGACCUACGGGUGAAAGCAGGGGAUCUUCGGACCUUGCGCGAUUGAAUGAGCCGAUGUCGGAUUAGCUAGUUGGCGGGGUAAAGGCCCACCAAGGCGACGAUCCGUAGCUGGUCUGAGAGGAUGAUCAGCCACACUGGAACUGAGACACGGUCCAGACUCCUACGGGAGGCAGCAGUGGGGAAUAUUGGACAAUGGGCGCAAGCCUGAUCCAGCCAUACCGCGUGGGUGAGGAAGGCCUUCGGGUUGUAAAGCCCUUUUGUUGGGAAAGAAAUCCAGCUGGUUAAUACCCGGUUGGGAUGACGGUACCCAAAGAAUAAGCACCGGCUAACUUCGUGCCAGCCGCCGCCGUAA
rnacentral:rRNA from 1 species